rnacentral:tRNA from 1 species
CGCGCGGUAGAGCAGUCCGGUAGCUCGUCGGGCUCAUAACCCGGAGGUCGCAGGUUCGAAUCCUGCCCGCGCUA